GGGUCCAACGUUUUGCCAAUGAGCAAAAUCUCAGAGGCCAUGCGCUGGCAGCCUGCUGGGGGCCCUUAGACUAGCCCUAAGUGGGCCCGUAAAGGGCCAGUGCAAGCUUGUUUGCAUGGUACCUUCCUACAGAGUUCAGUUCCAACCCUGGUUAAACAAACCUGUCUGGAAUUAUCAAGUGCUCCUUCAGAUCCUAAUUAGUUGGUUCGGAUGUGUUUGAUCAGGACCAGGGUUCUUCUUCUUCUUGCUUUACGGCAGAUCGCAGACUUGUAAGUGCAUUACCGCCACCUAUCUCUCAAAUAGGGUUGGGCACCCCAUUGUAGAGUAAUAAGCUGUGUCCCAAAGUUGAGUGUACACACUUCCAAGGGCACGGACUUCAAAGACCAGGCCUCCGAAGUGCACAAAGGGCCCUCUGAAGUGCAUGAGAUGCUCUGCCUUUGCAGAAUAUCCUAAUUCCACCACCAGGUGUUCCCAAUUAGCGCUGUGUCGCAUAGCAACGGUGAGAGGAGAGCUGACAUCCUAGCACAUUUAUAAAAAUUAUGGAGCCAGCAUUGUUAAUAUUUGUCUUUAUAUUUUAUGUUUUAAUGGAGGAGAUGGUGGAAAUGUUUCACCCAUGGCGGUGCCGCGUGAUGUACCUCAGGCUUAGCCGAGACUGAGGCCAGACCCCUGUACUGCAGGAUAAAGCUGAAUGUGCCAGGACUGGACAGGUUUUUAAUGGUUUUUGGCUGAGCAGGGAGGCCCUGACAGUGCUGCUGGAUCUAAAGAGAGGUGUCACAAUCCAGACCCUAGUGUUUCUCUUCUUUCUGCCGGUGGUACAUCAUACAGAGUGGUCUCCAGAGUGUUUGACAUGUGCCUCGUUCCACGGUCACCGAAUUAUCCUCCGAGUCUCUGAGGAGGUGCUGGCCAUUCACCAAGAGAUUGACCUCCUGAAGACCCCAGAACACAUGGAGGCAGGGCUGGGCUCAAAACGGAUGUUGUUUUUCUGAUGUUAAACCUAAGCUAUUGUUGUAAAUAGUUGCAAAAAGUACUUUCAGUAAUGUAUUGAACUAUUUGUUUUAAUGUGUAAAAAUUUUAUUUAAAGAAAAAAAAAAAAAAAACAGGAGAAUGUUUUGUGAAAAAAAAUUAUAAGCUGCAU
ensembl:lncRNA